ACGCUCGACACCUACUGGAGGCAGCAGUGGGGAAUAUUGCACAAUGGGGGAAACCCUGAUGCAGCGACGCCGCGUGGAGGAAAGAAGGUCUUCGGAUUGUAAACUCCUGUUGUUGGGGAAAAAGNGGAUGGUACCCAACAAGGAAGUGACGGCUAACUACGUGCUAGCAGCCGCGGUAAUCUGAGCGGGCUGGCAAGGC
rnacentral:rRNA from 1 species